AUUGAACGCUGGCGGCAUGCCUUACACAUGCAAGUCGAACGGUAACGGGCCUUCGGGUGCCGACGAGUGGCGAACGGGUGAGUAAUACAUCGGAACGUGCCCGAUCGUGGGGGGUAACGAGGCGAAAGCUUUGCUAAUACCGCAUACGAUCUACGGAUGAAAGCAGGGGACCGCAAGGCCUUGCGCGGACGGAGCGGCCGAUGGCAGAUUAGGUAGUUGGUGGGAUAAAAGCUUACCAAGCCGACGAUCUGUAGCUGGUCUGAGAGGAUGAUCAGCCACACUGGGACUGAGACACGGCCCAGACUCCUACGGGAGGCAGCAGUGGGGAAUUUUGGACAAUGGGCGCAAGCCUGAUCCAGCCAUGCCGCGUGAAGGAUGAAGGCCUUCGGGUUGUAAACUGCUUUUGUACGGAAGGAAAAGCCUUCUUUUAAUACAGGAGGGUCAUGACGGUACCGGAAGAAUAAGCACCGGCUAACUACGUG
rnacentral:rRNA from 1 species